CCUGAACUGAAGGCAGAUGCUCAACCACUGAGCCACCCAGGUGUCCCUGAAAGCAAGCUUUAAAAUUAAAUUAAUAUGGAGUUUAUAAUCAUCCUGAGACCAAAUUAAUGGGAGAAUUUAGUUACCCAUUUCUCUAGUAAUCAGAGGGUUAAGUAGGAGUAGUUAUUAUACAAAUAAAAUGCAUUGAAUAGUUUGGUUCUAUUAAAAUGAACAAUUUCUUGAUUAUUCUGAAGCAUCAUGGAUAUUUUCUUGAUUGUUUUAGGCAGUGGAGAUGGACGGCAGUGAAGAUGCUUUACUUCAUGGAAGCUGUGUUUAACCACACGGAACUAGACAUUACACACCUAAACAAGUCAGAAAUAUGGUCAUUUUGGAUAGUAGUAUUACAAAGAAAAUAAUAUAGUGUCAUGCUUGGGAGUAACUAGAAUAGAUAUGGAGAUGGAUAGUGUUUUUCAAUACAGUUGCCGGAGACAGUUUCUUUAAGGACACUGCAUUUGAAGUGAAUCUAGAGGGAUAAAAAGGAAUUAGACAUAUUAGGUUCUAGGGGCAGAACAUCCUGGAGUGGAGGCUGAGGGUGGUGACCGUCAGCACUAAAUACAGAGGACCUGAGAUGGGAAAGAGGCUGCCAUGGCACAUCUGAGAAAUAGAAAGGGGAUCAAUGUAAUUGUGAACACAACUGUGGAGAGAGAGAGGGGACUAUUAUAAAAAGAACCCAGAGACAUAGGCAGGAACUUGACUUGAGUCCAUGGGAAGGUGUUAAACAUUGAAUUUACCUGAUCUAAUUUACUGUUUUAAAGGAUAGUUCUGGGUCUUAUGAGAAGAAUGGAGUGUAUAAAGACCACAGGGGAGGUGGAGAAAGACUUUUGAUCUGUAAGGUUUUGAAAUAGAAACCGUGUCUCAGAAGAGAUCUUGGCAAUCCCAAAGGUUUCUUUUUCUGAAUAUUUGCUGCUUUGAUUGUCCAGGCAAGAAACGGAAUUAUUUUGGAAAUACAUAAGAUUCCUCAAUUAUGAACCAGAAGACUUGGUGAAAUGGCAGAGGAGCAAAAGGGGAUGAAGCCUUGGUCUCUUAACCAUGGUGUGGACGGAUUCUCUGCUGACACGGUAC